rnacentral:rRNA from 1 species
UACGUAGGGGGCCAGCGUUGCUCGGAAUUACUGGGCGUAAAGGGUUCGUAGGCGGUGCGGCAAGUCGGAAGUGAAAUCCCUGGGCUCAACUCAGGGACUGCUCCCGAAACUGCCGUGCUUGAGUGCGGGAGAGGCGAGUGGAAUUGCAGGUGUAGCGGUGAAAUGCGUAGAUAUCUGCAGGAACACCCGUGGCGAAGGCGGCUCGCUGGACCGCAACUGACGCUGAGGAACGAAAGCUAGGGGAGCAAACAGGAUUAGAUACCCUGGUAGUCCUAGCCCUAAACGAUCAGGACUUGGGGUGCAUCCCGUUGGGGAUGCGUCCCGUAGCUAACGCGUUAAGUCCUGCGCCUGGGGAGUACGGUCGCAAGGCUGAA